GCUUAACCGAAGAAGUGCAUCGGAAACUGGGUGACUUGAGUGCAGAAGAGGACAGUGGAACUCCAUGUGUAGCGGUGGAAUGCGUAGAUAUAUGGAAGAACACCAGUGGCGAAGGCGGCUGUCUGGUCUGCAACUGACGCUGAGGCUCGAAAGCAUGGGUAGCGAACAGGAUUAGAUACCCUGGUAGUCCAUGCCGUAAACGAUGAGUGCUAGGUGUUGGAGGGUUUCCGCCCUUCAGUGCCGGAGCUAACGCAUUAAGCACUCCGCCUGGGGAGUACGACCGCAAGGUUGAAACUCAAAGGAAUUGACGGGGGCCCGCACAAGCGGUGGAGCAUGUGGUUUAAUUCGAAGCUACGCGAAGAACCUUACCAGGUCUUGACAUCUUGCGCUAACCUAAGAGAUUAGAUGUUCCCUUCGGGGACGCAAUGACAGGUGGUGCAUGGUCGUCGUCAGCUCGUGUCGUGAGAUGUUGGGUUAAGUCCCGCAACGAGCGCAACCCUUGUUACUAGUUGCCAGCAUUCAGUUGGGCACUCUAGUGAGACUGCCGGUGACAAACCGGAGGAAGGUGGGGACGACGUCAGAUCAUCAUGCCCCUUAUGACCUGGGCUACACACGUGCUACAAUGGUCGGUACAACG
rnacentral:rRNA from 1 species